UACGUAGGGACCGAGCGUUGUCCGGAAUCAUUGGGCGUAAAGAGCGUGUAGGCGGCUUGCUAAGUCUUGCGUGAAAUCUCGGGGCUCAACCCCCGAGCGGUCGUGGGAAACUGGCAGGCUAGAGUGCGGGAGAGGAGAAUGGAAUUCCUGGUGUAGCGGUGAAAUGCGCAGAUAUCAGGAGGAACACCGGUGGCGAAGGCGGGUCUCUGGGCCGAUACUGACGCUGAGGAGCGAAAGCGUGGGGAGCGAACAGG
rnacentral:rRNA from 1 species